AGCAGCCGCGGUAAUUCCAGCUCCAAUAGCGUAUAUUAAAGUUGUUGCAGUUAAAAGCUCGUAGUUGAAUUUCGGGAUCAAAGGAUCGGUCAUGCCUUGGUAUGUACUGGUUUUAUUGGUUCUCACCUUCUAAAGAACCAUAAUGUCAUUCAUUUGAUGUUAUGGGGAAUUAGGACUGUUACCUUGAAAAAUUAGAGUGUUUAAAGCAGGCUUACGCUUGAAUACAUUAGCAUGGAAUAAUGAAAUAGGACAUCAGAUUCUAUUUUGUUGGUUUCUAGGAUCGAUGUAAUGAUUAAUAGGGAUAGUUGGGGGCAUUAGUAUUCAAUUGUCAGAGGUGAAAUUCUUGGAUUUAUUGAAGACUAACUACUGCGAAAGCAUUUGCCAAGGAUGUUUUCAUUAAUCAAGAACGAAAGUUAGGGAUCGAAGACGAUCAGAUACCGUCGUAGUCUUAACCAUAAACUAUGCCGACUAGGGAUCGGAUGAUGUUAAUUUUAUAAUGACUCAUUCGG
rnacentral:misc_RNA from 1 species